AGAGACAGCAGUCGCCGCGGUAAUACGUAGGUGGCAAGCGUUAUCCGGAAUUAUUGGGCGUAAAGCGCGCGUAGGCGGUUUUUUAAGUCUGAUGUGAAAGCCCACGGCUCAACCGUGGAGGGUCAUUGGAAACUGGAAAACUUGAGUGCAGAAGAGGAAAGUGGAAUUCCAUGUGUAGCGGUGAAAUGCGCAGAGAUAUGGAGGAACACCAGUGGCGAAGGCGACUUUCUGGUCUGUAACUGACGCUGAUGUGCGAAAGCGUGGGGAUCAAACAGGAUUAGAUACCGCGUAGUCCCUGUCUCUUAUACA
rnacentral:rRNA from 1 species